rnacentral:rRNA from 1 species
AGAGUUUGAUCCUGGCUCAGGAUGAACGCUAGCUACAGGCUUAACACAUGCAAGUCGAGGGGCAGCAUGAACUUAGCUUGCUAAGUUUGAUGGCGACCGGCGCACGGGUGAGUAACACGUAUCCAACCUGCCGAUGACUCGGGGAUAGCCUUUCGAAAGAAAGAUUAAUACCCGAUGGCAUAGUUCUUCCGCAUGGUAGAACUAUUAAAGAAUUUCGGUCAUCGAUGGGGAUGCGUUCCAUUAGGUUGUUGGCGGGGUAACGGCCCACCAAGCCUUCGAUGGAUAGGGGUUCUGAGAGGAAGGUCCCCCACAUUGGAACUGAGACACGGUCCAAACUCCUACGGGAGGCAGCAGUGAGGAAUAUUGGUCAAUGGACGAGAGUCUGAACCAGCCAAGUAGCGUGAAGGAUGACUGCCCUAUGGGUUGUAAACUUCUUUUAUACGGGAAUAAAGUGAGGCACGUGUGCCUUUUUGUAUGUACCGUAUGAAUAAGGAUCGGCUAACUCCGUGCCAGCAGCCGCGGUAAUACGGAGGAUCCGAGCGUUAUCCGGAUUUAUUGGGUUUAAAGGGAGCGUAGGCGGACGCUUAAGUCAGUUGUGAAAGUUUGCGGCUCAACCGUAAAAUUGCAGUUGAUACUGGGUGUCUUGAGUACAGUAGAGGCAGGCGGAAUUCGUGGUGUAGCGGUGAAAUGCUUAGAUAUCACGAAGAACUCCGAUUGCGAAGGCAGCCUGCUGGACUGUAACUGACACUGAUGCUCGAAAGUGUGGGUAUCAAACAGGAUUAGAUACCCUGGUAGUCCACACAGUAAACGAUGAAUACUCGCUGUUUGCGAUAUACAGUAAGCGGCCAAGCGAAAGCGUUAAGUAUUCCACCUGGGGAGUACGCCGGCAACGGUGAAACUCAAAGGAAUUGACGGGGGCCCGCACAAGCGGAGGAACAUGUGGUUUAA